UGAUAUUUUGAAGAGUAUUGUGAGCAAUUCCCACACUAAGAAUCGAUCACUCUCCAUCUCUCAUUCACUAUCAUCUUUUUUGAAGACCUCUCAAAGUGUUCUCUCCAUUUUUCAAGCCCAAGAACACCAAGGAAACUUUGAGGCUAAGUCUUGGUCUAGGAAGUAUUUUCCCUAAGUUUGUUAGGGUUUUUGAAAGGUUUUGGAGGAGCCAAAGCUAAUAGGAAGGUCCAAACCUUAAGCAAGAACACUAAAGAGUAUUGGCUAAGCGUAACUGGACUGAACGUUGGAGGGUGAAAACCUGCUGAGCGCUAAGGACUCCAAGUAAGAACAAGGGCAAGGCAGAGCAGUGAGCGCUGGAGUCUUCCUUGCAAAUGUACAUGUGGACCGACCUUUUGGGAAGCCGUUUUAUUUUUGGAAAUGUUGUGUAAUUUUCCUAAGCAAGGCUCACUCUACUCUUUAUAAAAAAAUGUUUGUAACUAAAUGUUAAGUAUGGCCAUACGACUUUUUAAAAAGUUUUUUUUAUACGGGUUUUUGAGACAUUUUGUUAAAUGAAAACAUUUAUAUUUCCGCAUUAUCGAGUCUUGAAAAUCUGGGUCGUUACAUAGGUAAACUCCCUUCUUAGCCGCAUACUGUAGGUUGUUUUUCUUUUUGGCUGGAAUUUUAUGCGUAGGUUUUUAUCCUAGGGGUAUCGACCAUAGGAAAGAGAAUGCUUAGGAACAUGACGCAUA